rnacentral:rRNA from 1 species
UAAAAAAUUUGGCGGUAUUUUAGUCUAUUCAGAGGAACCUGUUUUGUAAUCGAUAAUCCACGAUGGACCUUACUUAAAUUUGUAAUCAGUUUAUAUACCGUCGUUAAUUAGAAAAUUUUAUAAGAAAAUUAAUUUUUAAAAUUUUAAAAUGGAAAAUAUAUCAGAUCAAGGUGUAGCUAAUAUUUAAGAAAUUAUGGGUUACAAUAAAAUUAUUUAAAUAGAUAUAAAUUUGAAAAAUUUAUUGAAAUUGGAUUUGGUAGUAAAUUUAUAAAGAUUAUUAAAUUGACUUUAGCUCUAAAAUAUGUACACAUCGCCCGUCACUCUUAUUAUUAAGGUAAGAUAAGUCGUAACAUAGUAGAUGUACUGGAAAGUGUAUCUAGAAUGCAAUUUAAAACUUAAAUAGUAAAGUAUUUCAUUUACAUUGAAAAGAUUUUUGUGCAAAUCAAUAUAAAUUGAUUAAAUUUUAUUUAUUAAUUAUUAUUAUUAUAUAUUUAUAUAUAUAUAUAUACAUAAUUUAUAUUAUUAAAAAUAAUUAUAAUUGAAUAAAGUUUUAGUAUUUUAUAAAGAAAUAAUAAUUUU